UCUAAGCUUUUAAAAAGGCGGCGUAAGCUGUCGCUAUGGGAUGGCCCGCGGUGCAUUAGCUAGUUGGUAGGUAAAGGCUUACCAAGGCGAUGAUGCAUAGCCCGAGUUGAGAGACUGAUCGGGCCACAUUGGGGACUGAGACACGGGGCCCAAACUCCUACGGGGGGAGGGGCAGCAGUAGGGGGAAUCUUCCACAAUGGACGCAAGUCUGAUGGAGCAACGCCGCGUGAGUGAAGAAGGUUUUCGGAUCGUAAAGCUCUGUUGUUGGUGAAGAAGGAUAGAGGUAGUAACUGGUCCUUUAUUUGACGGUAAUCAACCAGAAGUCACGGCUAACUACGUGCCAGCAGCCGCGGUAAU
rnacentral:rRNA from 1 species